GGCACUUUGGCGGAGUGGUUAACGCGCUGGCCUGCUACUGUCCGCGCUCUCCGAUCAUCGGACAUCUCAUAUGACCUUAGCUGUUAAGCCAGUUCCUUCGGGAGCGUGAGUUCGAAUCUCACAGGUGUCG